CUUCUUUCAGCUUAGGAAUCAGGAAACUUCUCUGUGAUGCCAAGUAUUUGUGAGCUGAAUGAGACAGGUCCUGUGACAUCAUAGAUGUCCUUAAUUCCUUAUUGUGACCUCCCCGAUGACAUCUUUGUGGUGAGUCAGGCACGGACUGGCUGCACGCUGGAAGUGGUUUGAGGGAUGGAGACUGUAAAUGAGACAGAAGCAGGUAAAGGGGGCAAAGAUGCAGUCAUUGCAAAGCAGGAGAAAAUUGAUGACUAUCUCCUUCAAGAUAUUAAUAAGUUGUCAGAAUCACUGGAUGAUGGUGAAGGUGAUACCAAUGAUGAAGACAGUAACCCUAAAAAAGAUACUCGUGCCCCAUUAGAGUUAAUGGCAGAAUUCCUGAGAGCUGAAAUGGGCCGAGACUACCACCUGGCAAAAAAAUUAUGUCAGAUGAUUCUUAUCUAUGAGCCAGAAAAUCUUGAGGCCAAGGAAUUUUCCUUACUUAUUGAAGAAAUGUUGCUGAAAGAGGAAGCUCAGAACCUUGAGGAAAAUGAGGAAGAGAGCGAAGAAGACAGCAGCACUGAGAGUGAGGAAAGCAGUGAGGACAUGAGCGACGAGAGCUCUGAUGAAUGCAAAGAUGGGUCGUGA
rnacentral:lncRNA from 1 species